rnacentral:rRNA from 1 species
UACGAAGGGGCGUAGCGUUGCUCGGAAUGACUGGGCGUAAAGGGCGCGUAGGCGGUUUAGACAGUCAGAGUGUGGAAAACUUCCCGGGGCUUAACCUGGGGGCGUGCAUUUGAUACGUCUAGGCUGAGUGAGGAAGAGGUUGUGGAAUUCCCAGUGUAGAGGUGAAAUUCGUAGAUAUUGGAAGAACACCAGUGGCGAAGGCGACUGCUGGACAGGUAUUGACGCUGAGGUGCGAAAGCGUGGGAGCA